UACGGAGGGUGCGAGCGUUGUCCGGAAUCACUGGGCGUAAAGGGCGCGUAGGUGGCUUGGCAAGCGUGUGGUGAAAGCCCGGGGCUCAACCCUGGGUCUGCCGUGCGAACUGCUAUGGCUUGAGCACUGUAGAGGCAGGUAGAAUUCCGGGUGUAGCGGUGGAAUGCGUAGAUAUUGACCGGAAGGCCGGAGCCGAAGGGGCCCCAUUGGUACGCAACUGACGCUGAGGCACGAAAGCGUGGGGAGCAAACAGG
rnacentral:rRNA from 1 species